rnacentral:rRNA from 1 species
CGCGUAGGUGGUUCGAUAAGUCGGGUGUGAAAGCCCCGGGCUCAACCUGGGAAUUGCAUUCGAAACUGUCGGGCUAGAGUAUGGUAGAGGGGGGUAGAAUUCCCGGUGUAGCGGUGAAAUGCGUAGAUAUCGGGAGGAAUACCAGUGGCGAAGGCGGCCCCCUGGACCAAUACUGACGCUGAGGUGCGAAAGCGUGGGGAGCAAACA